CCUACAGCAAAAACGUAUAGAACUCGACACUUCACAGGAAAGUGUAGUGUCCUUUCAAUGCCACUCUUCAAUAGGAUAUUUCCCAAGAGACAGAGAUUUCCAGCCUGCAGCAGAGCCCUCACUGGAAAAGGAAUCACAGAGGAGUGGAGCCAUUCAGGCACAUGCAAAAUGCUGCUGGCAGGCUGGGAUGGCAGAAACGAGCUGGUGACCAGCAAGGACAGCAAGAGAGCAGCUGCUGAGAUGCAUUCUCCUGCACUGUCACCCCCGUUUCUCUCUCCGAACGCUCAGGAGGGCAUUCCAGACUGAGACAGAGGCCACUGGACAAAGCAAGAGCUGGCAAAUCAUUCUGCAGCCCAGGAGUCCUCCUGCAGCAGAGCCCAGGCACAGGCACAGAGCACUGGGUGAGUCACAAGUCCCUGGGUGUCUUCAUGGGGGCACAACAUGCAGCAGGGCUGGCAGCAGCCCCAUUCCCUGCUGCAAUCCUCAACACUACAGCAAGCUGGCAGAACCUCAGCAUGGCCAGUUUCUGUGCAGCAAUGGAACUACAAACUUGUGCCUUCUCACUGCCCCAGCAAAAGCAAAGGGGCCUCAAGAGAGCCUGUGCUAUCCCAGGUCAGUCUGCAUGCACGUGGCACCUGGAGCUUUCUUCCCAGCCUCAUUCACAGACCUGCACAGGGCUGAAUUAAUUUUGGAAGGGUUAAACUUGUUAAUUUGCCCUCAUUAGACAAAGGAGCAAAAGGGAGGGAACUAAGUCUAUAAACAGAGAUGAGAUUCCAUUUAUGGGCCUGCUGUAGUAGGGUUUCUCUACAGAACAAAGCAGCCCAAGAUUUACUACUUCCUAUAGAGCAUCUGUGAUGAUUUAGGGAGUCCAAACAAGUGGGAUGCCAAGGCUCAUUUUCAGCAGCCUUCUGCCAGUAACUGGGACAUAAACUCAGAAGUACAAAGACUGUAAGGUGGGAAAUGUGGAGAUGAAAUAGAAAAACUUAGUUCAUAAAUCAAAACAGACAAAAGACUGAUUCUCCAAACCUCCAUUACUGAUACUCUAUUCAAUUUUCCUUAGAAUUGUAUUUCUGGGAACAAUACUAAGAAGCUUUAGCUAAUACACAGCAUCAGUGUGGGCAGCUUACAGAACUUUGUGCUGCUUGGCUCAGCAAGUCACACAAUCUGUAACAGGUGCCUGUUCUCCCUCAGAUUAUGUGUGCUUCAGGAGAUUGGUCAAGCUCUGUGUAGGUUGUAAAACUUUUCCUUGGUAGUUUUUCCAUUAUUCUUUACCCAUUUCAUUUCCUUUCCAACAUAAAUGCAGACUGUACAUAGUAUCUGAAACACUAUUAUAUCAAGUCAAUACAGAGAAAGAUUACAGUCAUUCUAACAAAUACUCUUUUUCUUAAAUAUUGUAAAAAUCUGGAUCACUCUAGCAAGUGUCUCACAGGGCCCCUCACUGAAGAAUGAGAUGAGGAGGCCUGCUUGUUCUAAAACUGCCCUCAGCUCAGCAGUUUAAGGUAAAAAUACCCAAGCAAAAUAUUUCAGAUGUUUCAGUGUGCCUAAAAUGUUAUCUUAAAUUCUAGACUCAUUUUCUUGUAUGUUCACACGUACUGCUGAAAUUCAGGAACAAAGUAUUUCAGAUGCAAUUCUUUCAAGUCCAUUUACACAAAUGGUGCUCCACGUCAAAAAUUAAACAUGCUGUCAACAAUCUGUACAAAGGUAAAGGUGAAAAAUAGAAUUUGAUUAUAAAAGAAUUUAACACCAUCUGUACACCACAGAUAAUGCUUUUCAUAAGAUAAAUUUAUCACCACGCUCAUUCAAUCAUUCUGAGAUGUUAUCUCCCAAUUUUUAAAGCAUGUAUUUUCUGUGUACUUAUAUACAAUUAGUGUUUUUAUAGUAUUUCCUACUUGACUGUGAACAGUUCAGGUAUUAUACAAUGACUCAGAUGAGAUGAAUGAGGGAGAAGCUUAUGCAUGUUACUUGAAUGACAGAUAUUUCACUUGUCUAGCUCCAAAAGAGCCAAGAAAGGUAAGUGAUAAAAGCACCAGCUUAGACUCUUUUGAACAUAAAUUCAGGCAUUUUAAUGUGUAUCUCAUUAAAGCUACAUGAGUUUCCAUGUAGGUUAUUCAUACAUAUUAUGGCACUUGGACUUUCCUAACAGGUAUUUAGUUACCUAGGACAUCUAGGCUAAAAAAGAAAACAUCUGCUAAAAUGAACCAUUUCUGUAAGAAAACACUUCUGUCCCAACUUUCAAACCCUUAAUUUUCCUGAAAGUUGCACCAAAAUACAACUGUUGAUAU